rnacentral:rRNA from 1 species
AUGGCUCGUGCUGUUGUUCCGUUGAAUUUUAAUGCGUUUCUUGAGAAAGCAAAGUUGAAAGAUGAUGGUAGCAAUUACAUGGACUGGGUCCGUAACUUGAGGAUUAUCCUCAUUGCUGCACAGAAGAACUACAUCCUGGAAGCACCGCUGGGUGCCAGGCCUGCUGCUGGAGCAACACCAGAUGUUGUGAACGUCUGGCAGAGCAAAGCUGAUGACUACUUGAUAGUUCAGUGUGCCAUGCUUUAUGGCUUAGAACCGGGACUUCAACGACGUUUUGAACGUCAUGGAGCAUAUGAGAUGUUCCAAGAGUUGAAGUUAAUAUUUCAAGCAAAUGUCCGGGUUGAGAGAUACGAAGUCUCCAAUAAGUUCUAUAGCUGCAAGAUGGAGGAGAACAAUUCUGUCAGUGAGCAUAUACUCAAAAUGUCUGGGUAUAAUAAUCACUUGAUUCAAAUGGGAGUUAAUCUUCUAGAUGAUUGCGUCAUUGACAGAAUUCUCCAAUCACUGCCACCAAGCUACAAGAGCUUCGUGAUGAACUAUAAUGUGCAAGGGAUGAAUAAGACUAUUCCCGAGCUCUUCGCAAUGCUGAAAGCUGCGGAGGUAGAAAUCAAAAAGGGAGCAUCAAGUGUUGAUGGUCAACAAGACCACUAG